rnacentral:sRNA from 1 species
GGUGCGUGGAAUUCCACGCGAGUGCCGGGGAAUUCCUGGGGAGCCGGGCUUCUGCUUUGGCUCCCAGCGUGUUGACCGAGCCCGCUUCGCACAGCCCUUCCUAGGGUGUGGAGAGCGGGCCCCGCCCUGAAGGGGCACCGUGGGCUGGGGGGCCUGUUUUGGAGCAGGCACCUGUGGCCGAACUCCGUGACCAUGAAGGUCAAGGUCAUCCCCGUGCUCGAGGACAACUAUAUGUACCUGGUCAUCGAGGAGCUCACGCGCGAGGCGGUGGCCGUGGACGUGGCCGUGCCCAAGAGGGUGAGGGCAGGCCGCGGGCGGCAGGGACCCGGCCGUGCCCCCCGAGAGCCUCCCCGACCCCCCUGGCAGGAGCGAGCCCCCACGUGCUCUGCUCUCCGGAAGUCAUUGGCAGCUGGGGUUCCUUGAUUAUCUUGGGGCUCCCUGAAGUUACGGCGCCUCUGGCCUCCGCCCUUUCGCUGCUGCCUGGCGGUCCCUGCACGCGCUGGGCGCAGUCACCGCCCGCUGGGUCCCCGCUCCCCGGCGCCACCCGGGGCUCUGGCCGGCCUGGGGCAGUGCGCGCGGCGGAUCUGGCGCCCCGAUAUGGAGGGAGUGGGCCACCGGGACCGUCUGUGUUAUCGUCACUCCCGUCCCUUUCAGCUGCUGGAGAUCGUGGGCAGGGAGGGGGUGUCUCUGACCGCUGUGCUGACCACCCACCAUCACUGGGACCACGCGCGGGGAAACCCGGAGCUGGCGCGGCUGCGUCCCGGGCUGGCGGUGCUGGGCGCGGACGAGCGCAUCUUCUCGCUGACGCGCAGGCUGGCGCACGGCGAGGAGCUGCGGGUGAGCGCGCGCUCCCGGGAGGGGCGGGGAGGGCGCCCCGGGUCCGCCCACCCUCACAGGUCCGCCUGCUCCUCCGCCGCAGUUCGGGGCCAUCCACGUGCGUUGCCUCCUGACGCCCGGCCACACCUCCGGCCACAUGAGCUACUUCCUGUGGGAGGACGAUUGCCCGGACCCACCCGCCCUGUUCUCGGGUACCCGCAGCGCGGAGCGCGCCCACCCCGCCUCCCGCCGGCCCCGCCCCAUCUGCUCUGACCCGUCCUCCCCCGCCAGGCGACGCGCUGUCGGUGGCCGGCUGCGGCUCGUGCCUGGAGGGCAGCGCCCAGCAGAUGUACCAGAGCCUGGCCGAGCUGGGUACCCUGCCCCCCGAGACGGUGAGCGGGCCUGGGCCCUCCCCUCCUCUCUCGUGGGCACAGGCCCCACGCUCCGCACCCUCACUGUGCCAGGGGUGCAGAGUGAAUGCCCACCUGAGGGCAGACCGGGCAGGGGAGGGCCAGGCCACCGGCGCGAGCACUUUCCCCGCUUCCUGGCCGCGUGCGCGCUCACCGAGCGCUCUUCUUCCAGAAGGUGUUCUGCGGCCACGAGCACACGCUCAGCAACCUGGAGUUUGCGCAGAAAGUGGAGCCCUGCAACGACCACGUGAGAGCCAAGCUGUCCUGGGCUAAGAAGAGGGAUGAGGAUGACGUGCCCACAGUGCCGUCGACUCUGGGCGAGGAGCGCCUCUACAACCCCUUCCUGCGGGUGGCGUGAGUAUGGUUGUUGUCCCGGGGCCUCCACCGUUACGUGGACCCUUAGGAAGGCAUCUGGGGACCGCGUGUUGGGCUGAGUGAACAUCUCUGGCUUGGGGGAGGCUGCUCAUUAAGUGUCUGCCUGCCCGCCCACCCCUCGGCGCCAUCUUCCCGCGUGGGCAGUGGACCCUGCGCCUCACUGCACCCCUCCCUGCAGAGAGGAGCCGGUGCGCAAGUUCACGGGCAAGGCGGUCCCCGCCGACGUCCUGGAGGCGCUCUGCAAGGAGCGGGCGCGCUUCGAACAGGCGGGCGAGCCGCGGCAGCCACAGGCGCGGGCCCUCCUUGCGCUGCAGUGGGGGCUCCUGAGUGCAGCCCCACACGAGUGAGCCACCCAGACCCUCACAGGGCUGGGGCCUGCGUUCCUCCUCCUGACCUCGGCCAGCUGGACCCACGCGAGGGCCACCUCUGGAACCUUCUUCGAGGUCCUGGCCAGCCAUCUGCCCAGCCUCGGAGGGUGGGCAAGCUGGUGCUUCCUGGGUGGACACACAGGACCACUCAGUGGGGCCCGUGUGGGCGCCGAGACCUGGGUGCCUGCGAAGUGGGGUACACGGGGCCUCCGAACUACGAAUAAAGCUUUGAAAGGCC